GGCUCAUUAAAUCAGUUAUCGUCUAUUUGAUAGUACCUUACUACUCGGAUAACCGUGGUAAUUCUAGAGCUAAUACGUGCUGAAAACCCCGACUUCGGAAGGGGUGUAUUUAUUAGAUUAAAAGCCAAUGCCCCCCGGGGCCCCUUGGUGAUUCAUGAUAACUCCUCGAAUCGCACGGCCUUGCGCCGGCGAUGGUUCAUUCAAAUUUCUGCCCUAUCAACUUUCGACGGCUGGGUCUUGGCCAGCCGUGGUGACAACGGGUAACGGAGGGUUAGGGCUCGACCCCGGAGAAGGAGCCUGAGAAACGGCUACUACAUCCAAGGAAGGCAGCAGGCGCGCAAAUUACCCAAUCCCGACGCGGGGAGGUAGUGACAAUAAAUACUGAUACAGGGCUCUUUCGGGUCUUGUAAUUGGAAUGAGUACAAUUUAAUUCCCUUAACGAGGAACAAUUGGAGGGCAAGUCUGGUGCCAGCAGCCGCGGUAAUUCCAGCUCCAAUAGCGUAUAUUAAAGUUGUUGCAGUUAAAAAGCUCGUAGUUGAACCUUGGGCCUGGCUGGCCGGUCCGCCUCACCGCGUGCACUGGUCCGGCCGGGCCUUUCCCUCUGGGGAACCGCAUGCCCUUCGCUGGGCGUGCCGGGGAACCAGGACGUUUACUUUGAAAAAAUUAGAGUGUUCAAAGCAGGCUUAUGCUCGGAUACAUUAGCAUGGAAUAAUGGAAUAGGACGUGCGGUUCUAUUUUGUUGGUUUCUAGGACCGCCGUAAUGAUUAAUAGGGACAGUCGGGGGCAUCCGUAUUCAGUUGUCAGAGGUGAAAUUCUUGGAUCUACUGAAGACGAACUACUGCGAAAGCAUUUGCCAAGGAUGUUUUCAUUAAUCAGGAACGAAAGUUAGGGGAUCGAAGACGAUCAGAUACCGUCGUAGUCUUAACCAUAAACUAUGCCGACUAGGGAUCGGACGGUGUUGCUUUUUGACCCGUUCGGCACCU
rnacentral:rRNA from 1 species